UUAAUCAGUUAUCGUUUAUUUGAUAGUACCUUUACCUGGAUAACCGUGGUAAUUCUAGAGCUAAUACAUGCUAAAAACCUCGACUUCGGAAGGGGUGUAUUUAUUAGAUAAAAAACCAAUGCCCUUCGGGGCUCCUUGGUGAAUCAUAAUAACUUAACGAAUCGCAUGGCCUUGCGCCGGCGAUGGUUCAUUCAAAUUUCUGCCCUAUCAACUUUCGAUGGUAAGAUAGAGGCUUACCAUGGUCUUAACGGGUAACGGGGAAUUAGGGUUCUAUUCCGGAGAGGGAGCCUGAGAAACGGCUACCACAUCCAAGGAAGGCAGCAGGCGCGCAAAUUACCCAAUCCCGACACGGGGAGGUAGUGACAAUAAAUACUGAUACGGGGCUCUUUUGGGUCUCGUAAUUGGAAUGAGUACAAUCUAAAUCCCUUAACGAGGAACAAUUGGAGGGCAAGUCUGGUGCCAGCAGCCGCGGUAAUUCCAGCUCCAAUAGCGUAUAUUAAAGUUGUUGCCGUUAAAAAGCUCGUAGUUGAACCUUGGGCCUGGCUGACCUGUCCUCCUAAUCGAGCGCACGGGUUCGGUCGGGCCUUUCCUUCUAGGGAACCCCAUGCCCUUCACUGGGUGUGGUGGGGAACUAGGACUUUUACCUUGAAAAAAUUAGAGUGUUCAAAGCAGGCCUUUGCUCGAAUACAUUAGCAUGGAAUAAUAGAAUAGGACAUCGGUUCUAUUUUGUUGGUUUCUAGGACCGCCGUAAU
rnacentral:rRNA from 1 species